rnacentral:miRNA from 1 species
GCGGCGAGUCCGACUCAU